UCAGCCUUAGAGAGAGAAUCAAGCUGGUAUAAAUGGUCUGCAACUCCAGCCUCAGGGAAUGUGGCAGAGGAAGAUGAGCAAGAAGAGCUGGAGCCUGAAAUACCUGGCGACACCACCCAUUGCAUCAAAUACAGUCCUUUAGUGGGACAGUCAAGGGCUUUGCAAUUUUCUUCCCAUUUUCCUGGCUAUUCUGUUCAGGCUGGAGCCAGACCAGUUGAGAAGGAAGGAGGGAGUAAAUUUCUCGCCUUGACAACUGGUGAAUUUGGUGCCUGAAAUUACAGAACCAUAGAACAUCCUGAGUUGGGAGGGACCCACAGGGAUCACUGUGUCCAGCUCCCGGCCCUGCACAGGACCAUCACCAAGAGUCAUCCACUGUGCCCGAGAGUGAUGAGCGCCUUGUGGCCUUUGGGUGCAUUAACUCCUCUGGCAUCACCUCCGUUCUGUGAAGCAAAGUGGAGACUACUUCCAUAUACUUGGUCAGGAAUCACUGGAGAGAAGAGCACACCAGAAGCAGCCCAGCAGGCUCGGGGCACAUGACAAAGAACUGAGUUUCAGCCACCCAUAUAUUCCUCUGAUGUGGAGGAGUCA